AACAGAAGAUUCUGCGAAGAAAAGUGCUGCGCAGCAAGUGGAGAAUUGCAUGCAGAUUCCCUGGCCUUCAAGCUUAGGGGACAGAGCCAGCCUCGGGCUCGACCUUCAGCUCCUCCUAUCAAGACGAUCCCGGGCUGCUCUUGCCUCUUCCAAACAUGUGGUCAUCCCCCCAGGCGCAGCCAUCAACAGAACCCAACAGAGACCCACAUUUGAUCCCUCUGUCUAUCUCCUUGUCCCUCUAUCUCUCCUCUGUCUCUCUAUCUCUCCGCUGUCUCUCUUUCACAGCUACCCAGUAUUUUAGCUACUCUAAACAGAUAUUCCAAUUUGGAAGAAACCGCAUCAUCAAAUUUAUUUUUCCUACUAGAUGCAAAAAGUCUACGGCAUGAAAUCAAGUUAAAGUCCACACAGAACACUGCAGGGAUCCUUUCCUGAGAAUCAUCAUCACAACCACCAGCCCCAUCCCAUGAUUAUUAUUGCAAAACACUGAUUUGAUGGGAGAACUCCCAGGCAUCAGUCUCCAAACGUUACCCAUUGAAAAGGAGACCAGCGCUUUGAUGGAUACUCAGCUUUGAGAGACCGUAAUGCUCACUCCUCUCAAUUGCCAUCCUGUUCACACUGGCAUCUGGAGCAGGUGGAAGAAGGCAACAUGUCAGCCUGGACAUUCUCUGCCACUAGAUGGGCUGUGCUCGGUGCAGCCGGCUUUGAACAUGCAGUGUCCGUGCUGAACAGGUUUCGCUCGAGUUUCAUCACAAGGAAGUUAUCAGACAACUGUAGAAUCUAGACCAUUGAACAGGACAACUGGCCUGUCUUUUUCAAACUGCCAAUGCCUCCACAAACGGGAUGACAGAAAGGAGAAGAGUUAUUUUGGGUUCCAAAGAACUAAAGAGAUUGUGCUACUAUAUUUCUUUAGUUCUUUUGAGCCCAAAACCUCUCCUCACCUUACUGUGUUUGUCUUUAAUGGUGGUGACAUUGACUUGUUUGCAGAGGACAGGUCAGUUGUCUGGCUCAGAAGUCUACAUUCUGCAGUUGUCUGACCCUUCCUCAUGAUUAAACUCGGGCCUAGCCUUCUGCCAAGGGCACCACAUAGUGCACACUGUGUGCUUCCUAGCACAGCCCCUCUGGAGUUGAAGAAUGUCCACUUUGCCUGUCACCACUCUUGUCAUCUAAGCAUUGAACAUUUGGCUAUAGAGGGAGGAGCCAGUGAGAUCCAUUCAUUGGAACACACGUUUUUCUGUCUAGAAUCAGUCAUUUGACGAGUAGCUCUUCGAGAGUGUAUAAAUAUUUUAUUCUAUGAUUCUCAUUGUCUAACAA